ensembl:snoRNA small nucleolar RNA SNORD45
GGUCGAUGAUGAGCUGGCAUGUAUUCUGAAUCUGAAGUUGAUGAUUACUCCUUCAGCUCUAGAAUUACUCUGAGACCUG